GCCAGUGUGGCAUAGUGGUUAAGAGCUGUACACUCGUAAUCUGGUGAACCGGGGUUUGAUUCCCCACUGCUUCGCAUGCA